UACAGGGGGUGCAAACGUUGCUCGGAAUCAUUGGGCGUAAAGCGCACGUAGGCGGUUCGUUAUGUCGGAUGUGAAAGCCCUUGGCUUAACCGAGGAAGUGCAUCCGAAACUGGUGAGCUAGAGUACUAAAGAGGAUCGCGGAAUUCCCGGUGUAGAGGUGAAAUUCGUAGAUAUCGGGAGGAACACCGGUGGCGAAGGCGGCGAUCUGGGUUGAUACUGACGCUGAGGUGCGAAAGCGUGGGGAGCAAACAGG
rnacentral:rRNA from 1 species